CCCUGGUUAGCUCGAAUGGGAAAGCGCUCCACUGGAAAUGGAGAAGUCCAGGGUUCAAAACCCGGACCAGGCA
rnacentral:tRNA from 2 species